AAUAUAGUUUGAUUUAAUUAAUUAGAUUUAGUUUUUGCGUUGUGUAGUAUUUUUAUCUUUAUUAAAAGAAGUUAGCUAAGGUGUUGGACCACAAUUUUAAGAGUCUUAGAGCCCAAUUUUAGGACCCAAUUUGGACCAAACCAAUUCUCCUUAGCCCAAAUAACCCAUCAACCCAGCUGACCCGGCCAAAUACACCAUUUUAAUCUCAAUCAUCGAUCCAUUUUAAUCCAAUGGUCACAAUCCUUUCACCUAUCAAAUAAAAACCAAAUUAUAACCUACCCUAGACGAAGACUAUCAGCCGUGUUCCCUAAUCUCUAGAGCAAAUCAACACAAGACAAAAAAAAUCUUAGAUCUAAAAACCAAAAAACAAAAGGAUCUGCCAUAGGAAUGUAUGGAAUACGUGAUGUUUCUGCUUGCACUUGACCCUUUGGUUUCAAAUCAUUUCCCUAAAAUGGAGAUAGGAACUUGCUGUCUUGCUUAAAUGAUCUCAUUUUCGGUAUUUUUGCUAGAUUUUAUCUCUGCGGCUGACUUGCUGACUAAUCUACUUCUACAAUAGUUGAUUCGCACAAAUAGCCAAUUUUAUGACCUCCUGUAUUUCGCUGCUUCGUCUUCUCUUCACCAUAUCUGUCGGAGCACGCGCACACACAGUCAUGCAUUUUUUUUACUUUCCGACGAGUUUCGAGGCUGAAGAGUCGAGGUCUGCCUGUGUUUCAUCAAAUUCCGGCAAGCUCCAAAGUCGAAGUUCCGUUGGUCCUGGUCAAGUCCCUAUCCGAUUCUGGAGCUGCAAACCAGUUAAGCUCAGAUUCACAUUUGGAGGAUCUGAGGUAGGUACAUCUGGCUACCAGACCGGUGCGCGUUCUUGAUCAUAGUCCGAGACUUCCACGGUGAGCUGCUACCUUCGUAUGCUGAUCAACAACAUAUUGGAGUCUCUCUGUACUUUUGACUGUCUAUUCUAUUUCAGAUAGUAGGAUAGAUUUAUUCUUUUGUAUAUUCUACUAGUUGCCCACAAAUUUGUGAAAUCAGGUCUUGGCACACACAUUAGUAGACUAUUCUUUUGGGGAUUGUAUAAUUAUUUUGGUACGUUAUUGAUUAUCACUUGUUUUAACUUCAACUUAAGGAAAUUGCUGUACUUAUUUUGGUAAAGUAAAAUGAGAACUUAUUUUUUA